rnacentral:ncRNA from 16 species
AGUGGCCCAGUGGUUAGAGCAGCAGUUUGAUAGACUGUAGGUCGCGAGUUCAAUUCCCGUAA